GGGGGCGUAAUGGUUUCGACGGGAUUGUUGAGACUUAAGUAGCGAGUAGAGGAUUCUCGUAGGCCUCUUAAAAAACGAGAACUUAAAAUUAAACGCUAAAAACGAUAAUUUAGCUUACGCGGCUUAAUGCCGUGUGCGUCUAGCCCAGGUUCCUGCACCUGGGGGCCUAGGCGUCGAUAAGUCAGGCCUUUUGCAUAGGAAGGUUAAAUGCUAGAACUGCUGCGGUAGUAGCCUUGAGCUGCAGCGGAACUUAAAGGCUACGGUAGAGUAGACCCUGCCCUUGGGGGAUGCUCGUCAGGAAUGCUAAAUUGGGGGAUACACUCGUAGAAGCUUUUGUGGAUAUGGUUUCGGACAGGGGUUCGACUCCCCUCGCCUCCACCA
rnacentral:tmRNA from 1 species